rnacentral:lncRNA from 1 species
GGGGUUGAUAAUUUCUUAAGUCACCUUUUGUUGUUGUACUCUUACAAAAAGCUAUUGCAAAUAUCAUUAAUUUGAAUUGGCUACUUAGCUCUGCAAUGGUUGUGGCCUGGUCCUCUUUUCUAAAACUUCAUCUUCCAAUCUUAUGAGCAAUUUGUCUUGUAAAGGCGUACUUCAGUCCUCAAAAUGAAUACAGAACCAUUGGUGGUAGUGUCACUAAUAAUUGGAAGAAAUGACACGUCAAAACAACACAAUAUGACAACUGCAUAACAGACACGGGAAAACAUGUCAUCACUUCUGUUACGUCUCUAAUGUAAGCACACCAGUGACACAUAAAAUAAACAUGUCGCUAAUGAACC